UAGGGAAUCUUCCGCAAUGGGCGAAAGCCUGACGGAGCAACGCCGCGUGAGUGAUGAAGGUCUUCGGAUCGUAAAACUCUGUUAUUAGGGAAGAACAAAUGUGUAAGUAACUAUGCACGUCUUGACGGUACCUAAUCAGAAAGCCACGGCUAACUACGUGCCAGCAGCCGCGGUAAUACGUAGGUGGCAAGCGUUAUCCGGAAUUAUUGGGCGUAAAGCGCGCGUAGGCGGUUUUUUAAGUCGGAUGUGAAAGCCCACGGCUCAACCGUGGAGGGUCAGUGGAAACUGGAAAACUUGAGUGCAGAAGAGGAAAGUGGAAGUCCAUGUGUAGCGGUGAAAUGCGCAGAGAUAUGGAGGAACACCAGUGGCGAAGGCGACUUUCUGGUCUGUAACUGACGCUGAUGUGCGAAAGCGUGGGGAUCAAACAGG
rnacentral:rRNA from 1 species